AUUACCUGUGGAGCUUGUUAAAAUGCAGAUUGUGACUUAGUAGUUUGGGGUGGGGUCUAAGAUUCUGCAUUUCUAACAGGCUCCCAAGUAAUGCUGA
rnacentral:pre_miRNA from 1 species